rnacentral:tRNA from 1 species
GGGCCUGUAGCUCACCUGGGAGAGCGCAUCGUUCGCAACGAUGAGGUAGAGGGUUCGAUCCCCUUCAGGUCCACCA